CAGCAGCCGCGGUAAUACGGAGGGUGCAAGCGUUAAUCGGAAUUACUGGGCGUAAAGCGCACGCAGGCGGUUUGUUAAGUCAGAUGUGAAAUCCCCGAGCUUAACUUGGGAACUGCAUUUGAAACUGGCAAGCUAGAGUCUUGUAGAGGGGGGUAGAAUUCCAGGUGUAGCGGUGAAAUGCGUAGAGAUCUGGAGGAAUACCGGUGGCGAAGGCGGCCCCCUGGACAAAGACUGACGCUCAGGUGCGAAAGCGUGGGGAGCAAACAGGAUUAGAGACCCCGGUAGUCCCUGUCUCUUAUAC
rnacentral:rRNA from 1 species